rnacentral:misc_RNA from 1 species
GGUGAAGAACGUAGCGAAAUGCGAUAAGUAAUGUGAAUUGCAGAAUUCAGUGAAUCAUCGAAUCUUUGAACGCACAUUGCGCCCCUUGGUAUCCCGAGGGGCAUGCCUGUUCGAGCGUCAUUUCACCACUCAAGCCUGGCUUGGUGUUGGGCGACGUCCUCUUUGGGGACGCGCCUCGAAACGCUCGGCGGCGUGGCACCGGCUUUAAGCGUAGCAGAAUCUUUCGCUUUGGAAGUCGGGGCCCCGUCUGCCGGAAGACCUGCUCGCAAGGUUGACCUCGGAUCAGGCAGGGAUACCCGCUGAACUUAAGCAUAUCAAUAAGCGGAGGA